GCUGGAUGCUAUGGCAUGCACUUAUAGUCCCAGCUACUCAGGAGGCUGAGACAGGAGGAUCGCUUGAGUCCAGUAGUUCUGGGCUGUAGGGCACUAUGUCAAUCUGGAAGUAGGGGGCCACCAGGUUGCCUAAGGAGGGGUGAACCUACCCAGGUCGGAAACGGAACAGGUUAAAACUCCCGUGCUGAUCAGUAGUGGGAUGGUGCCUGUGAACAGAAAAGGCACUCUAGCCUAGGCAACAUAGUGAGACCUGGUCUUUA
rfam:Otolemur garnettii contig097681, whole genome shotgun sequence.